rnacentral:lncRNA from 1 species
UUGAAGCUUAUAUGGCUUCGGAUGUUUAAUGGUUUUCAAGCCAAGUUUUGUGACUAAUCUAGUGCUAGCCACAUUGGUACAACUACCACUAUCAACUAUCAAAGAGCAAACUUUUCCAUCAACAAGACAUCUAGUAUGAAAAAUAUUUUCUUUUUGAGAAUCAUCAUCCUUAACUUGGACUCCUAAGAGUCUUCUAACCAUGAGAAGAUCUCCUUCAACGGGAGCCAAUUCAUAGUCACUCCCUAGUUCACUUGG